GUCCAUUUUAUAUGAAAUGUUUCAUCAUUUUCGCCGAAAAUAUGUUUUCCUAGUUUGAAAUUGUAUUUUAUGAAAUAUAUAAGUUGGUUGAUAUUUAAUUCCGUAAAGAAAUAUCUUGUUUUGUUAAUAUAUUUCUUGAUAAUGAUAAAAAGAUGGUUAAUCAGGACACGUGCCUCUGGUCCUCCCAGCAGGAAACUUUCAACAUUUAUACUUAGAUUACAGCUGGUUUUGUAUCGAUACCACUCAACAAAUGUAGAGAGAAGGUGUUUUGUUUUUUCACAGAAAUAGAAUAAAUGUUCUAAAGU